rnacentral:lncRNA from 1 species
AUGGCAUGUUGUGACCAUAAUUAAAUCAGUAUAAAGGCUUAGGUAAAGAGUAAUGAUGUGGGAUGCCAAGAUUUCUGCUGGUGUUUGAAGGUCACAAGACUACAGAGAUGUAAAGCACAAAGCAGUUACCCCUGCCAGUCUCUCAGGAGAUGAGCCAUUAGUUGUAGUUAUUACCCGCCUCUUUGGAUCAUUUCCUGGCAAUUUUAAGGUGUUGUUAUGGCAAAGAGGUGAAUAGGCUCUGGAGUCAAAAGAUCUUAAUAGAACUGCAAUAUGAUCAAUGAGAAUGGAGUCAAACACAGAAAGUCCUACAGUGCCUCUCUCCAGUCAGUUUCUCCCCAUGUUGGCAACUGUUUUCAAUCAUCAUAGAUAAAUUUUCAGU